rnacentral:rRNA from 11 species
AAGCCAGGGUGUGACAAUAUGAACAAGAAAACCUGUCCUUAACGGGAUGGUACUUACUUUCAUACAGGUGCUGCAUGGCUGUCGUCAGCUCGUGUCGUGAGAUGUUUGGUCAACUCCUAUAACGACAAAACCCUCGUUUUGUGUAGCUGAGACAUGCGCCUAAGGAGAAAGUCUUUGCAGCCGAAGUCAGCCGAGGAGCCGAGUGACGUGCCAGCGCUACUAAUUGAGUGCCAGCACGUAGCUGUGCUGACAGUAAGGUCGGCGCCUUUCGAAGCCUAAGCCCUUUCUUUUCUAGCGUGCGCUUUAGUUUGAUUGCAACUAGCGCGCUUGACUAAGAAGAUAGAAAGGGUUUUUCUCGCUUGGUUAGUAAAGUCAAGUUUUUGGCCUUAUCUUGCAGGUGAUGACGACGUCGAGUUGACGGCAGAGAAAGACUGGGCAUUCAGGCGAGCCGCCCGGUGGUGUGGUACAUAGUGGGUUUAGUACGCCCUGCCAAAACGGCUAUGAAACAAACAAAAAGGUGCGUGCCGCACUCACGAAGGACUGCCAGUGAUAUACUGGAGGAAGGUGGGGAUGAUGUUAAGUCCGCAUGGCCUUUAUGGGCUCGGCCACACACGUGCUACAAUGGCAAUUACAAUGGGAAGCAAGGCUAUAAGGCGGAGGGAAUCCGGAAAGAUUGCCUCAGUUCGGAUUGUUCUCUGCAACUCGGGAACAUGAAGUUGGAAUCGCUAGUAAUCGCGGAUCAGCAUGUCGUGGUGAAUAU